rnacentral:rRNA from 1 species
AACGAACGCUGGCGGCAGGCUUAACACAUGCAAGUCGAGCGCCCCGCAAGGGGAGCGGCAGACGGGUGAGUAACGCGUGGGAAUCUACCGUGCCCUACGGAAUAGCUCCGGGAAACUGGAAUUAAUACCGUAUACGCCCUACGGGGGAAAGAUUUAUCGGGGUAUGAUGAGCCCGCGUUGGAUUAGCUAGUUGGUGGGGUAAAGGCCUACCAAGGCGACGAUCCAUAGCUGGUCUGAGAGGAUGAUCAGCCACAUUGGGACUGAGACACGGCCCAAACUCCUACGGGAGGCAGCAGUGGGGAAUAUUGGACAGUGGGCGCAAGCCUGAUCCAGCCAUGCCGCGUGAGUGAUGAAGGUCUUAGGAUUGUAAAGCUCUUUCACCGGUGAAGAUAAUGACGGUAACCGGAGAAGAAGCCCCGGCUAACUUCGUGCCAGCCGCCGCCGUAAUAC